rnacentral:rRNA from 1 species
UACGUAGGGUGCGAGCGUUAAUCGGAAUUACUGGGCGUAAAGAGCGCGUAGGCGGCCUGUUGCGUCCGCUGUGAAAGCCCGGGGCUUAACCCCGGGUCGGCAGUGGAUACGGGCAGGCUAGAGGUAGGUAGGGGAGAAUGGAAUUCCCGGUGUAGCGGUGAAAUGCGCAGAUAUCGGGAGGAACACCGGUGGCGAAGGCGGUUCUCUGGGCCUUACCUGACGCUGAGGAGCGAAAGCGUGGGGAGCGAACAGG